rnacentral:misc_RNA from 1 species
AACCAAAGCAAGACCAUCAUAAACGAAAUGAGGAUGCACUUGCUGCAGCUAAAGAACGUUUUUUGGCACGGAAGAAGGCAAAGCAGCAACUGUGAAUGUUUCUUUCUCUCUUAAUUGAAAUUACAAAGGAAUUACUAUUAUAUUUGUCGCUUAUCUCACUUUGUCCGGUUUUUUACUUGUUGCCUGUUCUCUCGAAAGGGUUAAUAGAUAUUUUGAUUUCUUAGAUCCUCG